rnacentral:miRNA from 1 species
UGUUCAUACGGUUGAUAGCAC